CUUCUAGUCCCACAGCGUCCGAUAUGGAAUCGCCAAUGCAAUUCUCUGACCCUGGUUUAGGGGUUAUCACUGUCGAAGAGGAUUAUACCCCAAAUCUUGCCUCGUUGAAAAAACUCUGGCUAGAUCCUAAGAAUAGGAUAAAAGUAGAUUGGUAUAGUACCACUUACUCUAAGAGUCAAAAAGCUCUUUUCGGAAAGCAAUGGAUUUCCGAUAUGAAACGUUUAAAGUGCGACAUAGAGUUCU
rnacentral:lncRNA from 1 species